AUUCAGAUCAAUGAAGACAGAAAAGCUGCUGAAACAGCUGAGAUUCAUGACACAUUAUUAUAAAGAUGGCCUUUAUUAAAGAGGAGACUGAAGAUGUGAAGAUUGAAGAAGCAUUCAGACUCAAACAAGAAGAUACCGAGGAACAAACAGAAAUGGACAUUUGACAGUAAAGUACAGAGUUUGAGUUUGGAUACAGAUGUACAUUUAUAUAUUAAUAUUAGCAGCAGUCUGAGACAACAUCUGUAAAAUUAACAACAUCUGAAAAAAAGUGUUAAAACAUUUAAAUGGUCUGAGAGUGCAGACGGAUCUGAUUAGACCUGCAAAUAUAACAAGUUUGUUGAGAGAUGUUCAAGUGCUCCAUUAAGAUAUUUGACAUUUUUAUUGAAACUGCUGUCUACAAACAUCUGACAGACGUCUGUAUGAUGAUAGUUUUACAUGCAUGGUAAAUCAUAAACACCUUAAAGACAUCUAAUAGACGUCUGUUUGAUAUCUAAAAGAAAACAUCCAAUAGACGUAUUGCAGAAGAGCAAACAACCUAAAAAUACGUCUUGUAGAUGUAAAUGCAGAUGUCGAAUAGUGUUAAACAUACCUAUUAAGCUCACCGAAAUCUACAUUGAGACAUUUUUACUGCACAAGAUAUUGUUUUCAGUACAAGAAGUUAUGUUAAAAUAAAAUAUUAAUCUCACAAAAAUACAUCAUUUUAUUUUAAAUGACAAAAGCAUUUUGAUGAAAAUAUACAUCAUUAAAUGCAAAAAGUCUGGCUGUGCUUAAUGGCUGUGUUUGUGUACUCUUUAACCACACACCUGUUCCCAUUAAGCUCACAUCAUGUUUUAUAAAAAGUUAUUGUUUAUUUUAAACAACCUUUUUAAAGAAUAAUUAAAAAAGAUUUUAUUUGAAGGUACAAAGUCAAUCAAAAAAAGUCUGUAAAUUUUAGCUGACAUAUCUAAUAGAAAAUCCUGUAGUGUUUGAUGGUCACAGAUUUUUAGUUUCAGACUAUGAUUCUAUCCAGUCGGAGGAGAUCAAACAUGUUUGAUAUUUUCAGCCUCCUUUGUCACAUGUUUCUGUGUGAGUUUGAUGUGAUCGGAUAUAAUUUAAAGUCUUGUAGUGUCUGAUUCUCAGUGGUUUAGUGUAUGAUGCCCAGUUUUCCUUUUGACUAUUUACAAUAAUAUUAUACUACUAUGAAUCUGUAUGUGUAUGAUGCCUGGAGUUUAAAAAAUGUUCACUUUUUAAAAGUCGUGUAGUGUAUUCCAGCCUUUAGUUGCUUUUUUUCUGGACAGAUACGACAGGUUUCUGAUGGCUGCUUCUUUGUAGAGACGACAUGCCUGUUUCAUCUUCGGGCAUAAACAUUACAUGCAUCUAGAUUUUAUCUUAAAGAUGUGAAAAGUUAUUAACCAUUUUAUAAAGAUAAACCUAAAGUGACAACCAUUAGUUUAUAUUUAAAGUCUGUUUAUUAAGUAUAAUAUCGAUGUUCAAUGUAGGGGUCGACCGAUUAUCGGCGCCGAUAUUAAGCAUUUUAUGAUUAUCGGUCAUUUAUGAUUAUCGGUCAAGUUAUUAAGGAAGUUUGCAAAUGUGAUAUUGAUUUUAUAUAUUUAAAUCACAAAAUUCUGAAAACAGAAAUAUUAAAUUUAAAAUAUUAAUCUCCACAUGAAUUUAUGAAUUUAAUUGCACUCAUGCCACCUCUGAGCCUCAUUAAACAUCUGAAAACCUCUGUAGUAAUGUUCAAUUCAGCACACCGAACGAACGAUAGUAGCGCAACACUAAUCAGAUUUAUCACGUGAUGAGAGUGAGUCGAGCUGACUGAUGAGAAGAGUGAGGUGAAAAAGACGAGAUGAUGGAGGAUGAGUUUCAAAACGAAAUGUAAAAGCGCCUGUUUUUUAAAAAAAUAUUUUGGAUUUUGAAAACCCUGAUGACUUCUGCUAUUAAUCUAAGUGAUAUAUUGGAAGUUUUUUUUUUUUUUUAACAUCCAUUUCUCAUUUAUUUGGUUCCACAGUUUUUGCUAGUUUUAUCUAAACUGUGUAUUUUUUUUUUUUUCAUUGUUUUACAUGAAGGUGUAGCCUAUGCCAUCUUUGCCUCAAAACUUUCUUAUUUCGUUUUGCUAAUAAAUGUUAUACAUUUUAAAAUUAUUUGCUCCUCAUUGUUUACUGAUUUUUAGUUUUGUAUACCUAUUUAAAAUUUUAGUUGUUAUUUUACAUUAGGCAUAUAGUAUAUGUAUUUUUCUUUAUUUUGUUAAUAAAAGUUCUGUGUUCUACGUUGUAUUUUGUUGUUGAUUGAAUGUUGAAUUGCCGCUAAAAGUGAAAGUAAAAAACGCAUGGGGCUUUUACAAGCUAUUUAAGGAAAGUGAGGGAGAGAGGAAAAACCUCAAACGAACUAAAAACAAACUGCUUGAUGCAGAAUUGCUGCUAAUUUGAAACUGAAAGUAAAACGCACACAGCGAUUACAGGCUAUUUAAAACAGACGGAAAGUGAGGAAAAGAAGGAAAACUCAAACGACCCCCCCACCACAGUGAUACCAGUAUUACCAGUGUUGUCACAUGCUGAUUAACUGGUGGAAAAAUUUCCUCACGUCACAACCCUAGUAUUAAGUUCAUACAUAUUUUAUUUGAAUCAACUAUUAUUGAUAAUAUCUAUGAAAUUGUACUUUUUCUUGUUGAUGUCACACUGAAACUGUGUUUUUCGUAGUAGUGCACCCUUUAAGCUCACCUUAAAAUAAUAUGAAAUCUUUAAAAAUAACAGCAGUGUAAAACCACAGACCAGCAAUAAACUGUCAGUUUAUAAUAUUAUGGAUGUAAAAACACAAGCCAGUAAUGUCUGUGAAGUAAUAUAUUAGCGUAGCACACAAUCUUUUGGAUCUAAUGUAAUUAUUUCCCACAU